UGUCGGGUCGUCCAAGGGCAGGACAGCGGAUUUUGAUUCCGCGAAUGGGGGUUCGAAUCCCUCCCUGACAACCA
rnacentral:tRNA from 1 species